AAAAAGAUAAGCUAAAUAAGCUAAUGGGCUCAUACCCCAGUUAUAAAGGUAAUAACCCUUUUCUUUUUA
rnacentral:tRNA from 1 species